ACACUCUCAGCUCUGCUCAGUUGCACCUGAUUCCAGUGGUGCAGCUGUCGUUUUCGAGAGGGAAAGCAAAUGAGUUCAAAUUUGCACAGUUGCAGUGGUCUCUGUGUUCCUUAUCAAACUCAACAGAU